GGCGCAGCCUGAUGCAGCGACGCCGCGUGAGGGAUGACGGCCUUCGGGUUGUAAACCUCUUUCAGCAGGGACGAAGCGCAAGUGACGGUACCUGUAGAAGAAGCACCGGCCAACUACGUGCCAGCAGCCGCGGUAAUACGUAGGGUGCGAGCGUUGUCCGGAAUUACUGGGCGUAAAGAGCUCGUAGGUGGUUUGUCGCGUUGUUCGUGAAAACUCACAGCUCAACUGUGGGCGUGCGGGCGAUACGGGCAGACUUGAGUACUGCAGGGGAGACUGGAAUUCCUGGUGUAGCGGUGGAAUGCGCAGAUAUCAGGAGGAACACCGGUGGCGAAGGCGGGUCUCUGGGCAGUAACUGACGCUGAGGAGCGAAAGCGUGGGGAGCGAACAGGAUUAGAUACCCUGGUAGUCCACGCCGUAAACGGUGGGUACUAGGUGUGGGUUUCCUUCCUUGGGAUCCGUGCCGUAGCUAACGCAUUAAGUACCCCGCCUGGGGAGUACGGCCGCAAGGCUAAAACUCAAAGAAAUUGACGGGGGCCCGCACAAGCGGCGGAGCAUGUGGAUUAAUUCGAUGCAACGCGAAGAACCUUACCUGGGUUUGACAUGCACAGGACGCCGGCAGAGAUGUCGGUUCCCUUGUGG
rnacentral:rRNA from 1 species